CCUCCAUUUUAAGGGGAUGCUCAACAUUAUCGCGAUUCUCUGAAAUCUCUAUUAGUGAUUAUGGGGGUGUGCAAGCAUUUCGGGAUUUUUUUCUUUGACGUGUAAUCAGCUGAAUCAAGGUUGUGGAGGAGAAUGUCACUUCCUCUGUCAGCUCUAUAAGAAGACUGAUCAGUGCUGAAGCUAUGAAGACCAUCUCAGCAACUGCAGACCUAGGAAUCAAUACAACCAACAUGAGGACUUUAAUGCUCUUGGUGCUGACAAUUGUAGCGGUCACUGGAUUAAGACGACGUAAAGCGAGAGAAAAGCUCCUAGAAGAAAUCAUGGAGGAUGUGGACGUGAUGCUAAAACAAAGAUCAAAGAUGAAUCUCAACCAAUUUGUAAAAGACGUAUUGCCGUCGGCGGGCUGCUCACAGAAACACCUUUGCCAAGCAGCAAUGGUUAUGAUGAACACAAAUCUAAAAUUCAGCAUGCUACACAGGCGACUGUUUGCCUAUGCUAAUUAUUCAGGGGUAAGUCAUCUCACAAUAUUCAUUUGUUGAAUUAGAUGAUAAACAAUGUGAUUACUAUACUGUGUCUGUAUUAUUAGAGUAUCAUUCUGUGUGAAAAGCCAAUGCUAUAUUAUCGGCAUGAUUCUUACACUUUAGAAAUUAUCAAAUGUCAUUUCCAUUUUUCCACUACUAUCGGUUAUUUCUGCCCCACUAGUAUCAGCAAACUGAAGCGCAAAGCUUGUCUGACUGACUUAACCAAGCUUAACUUAGCUUAACAUAUCUAACGACUGAUUUA